rnacentral:lncRNA from 1 species
CAUCAUUUCUUCUGUAACUGACAGGAAGAAGAGCAAGUCUGUUGUUGCAGUAGGAGCUGAAUUUCUAUUCGAUGUUCUACACAAAGAACCUCUUUAUCCUGAUGUGGAUUUGGAAGAUGUUCCUCUUGGUGCCACUGGCUUCAAUCUUCUUUCAGCAAGCAACAGGGAAAUAUCAAACUCAUGAAAAACAUGGCAUAUUUCAACUCAGGGCUGUGAGAAGCAAAAUGCUGCACUAUAAAGAAGCCCUGCUGAGAAAAAGCAUCCUAGAGACUCGUUCAGCUAUAUCUUACAAGGGGAAACAAGCAUCUCUACUUCUGUAUUAAACUUUCUGCAUUUGGAGACCUGAAAAUAUGCAGCCAAGAUGAAACUGCU